rnacentral:rRNA from 1 species
UACGUAGGGGGCAAGCGUUGUCCGGAAUCAUUGGGCGUAAAGGGCGCGUAGGCGGCCCCUUUUGUCGCGUGUGAAAGCCCCGGGCUCAACCUGGGAACGGCGCGCGAAACGGGGGGGCUUGAGUUCGGGAGAGGAGAGUGGAAUUCCCAGUGUAGAGGUGAAAUGCGUAGAGAUCCGGAGGAACACCAGAGGCGAAGGCGGCCUACUGGGCUGCACCUGACGCUGAGCCGCGAAAGCCAGGGGAGCGAACGGG